rnacentral:rRNA from 1 species
CAGCCGCCGCGGUAAUACAGAGGGUGCGAGCGUUAAUCGGAUUUACUGGGCGUAAAGCGUGCGUAGGCGGCUUUUUAAGUCGGAUGUGAAAUCCCUGAGCUUAACUUAGGAAUUGCAUUCGAUACUGGGAAGCUAGAGUAUGGGAGAGGAUGGUAGAAUUCCAGGUGUAGCGGUGAAAUGCGUAGAGAUCUGGAGGAAUACCGAUGGCGAAGGCAGCCAUCUGGCCUAAUACUGACGCUGAGGUACGAAAGCAUGGGGAGCAAACAGGAUUAGAUACCCCUGUAGUCCUUGUCUCUUAUAA